rnacentral:rRNA from 1 species
UACAGAGGUCCCAAGCGUUGUUCGGAUUCACUGGGCGUAAAGGGUGCGUAGGUGGCAAGGUAAGUUUGAUGUGAAAUCUCCGAGCUUAACUCGGAAACUGCAUUGAAUACUCUCUUGCUUGAGGGUUGGAGGGGGGACUGGAAUUCUCGGUGUAGCAGUGAAAUGCGUAGAUAUCGAGAGGAACACCAGUGGCGAAGGCGGUGGUCUGGGCCGGCACUGACGCUGUAGAGCGAAAGCGUGGGGAGCGAACAGG